AGAGUUCGAUCCUGGCUCAGAACGAACGCUGGCGGCGCGUCUUAAGCAUGCAAGUCGAGCGAAUGGGCGCCUUCGGGCGCCAGGAAGCGGCGGACGGGUGAGUAACACGUGGGUAACCUGCCCCACGGUGGGGAAUAGCACAUGGAAACAUGUGGUAAUACCGCAUGAGAGGCAUGGCGUUGAGCCAUGCGGGAAAGGCCCUUAGGGGCCGCCGUGGGAUGGGCCCGCGGCCCAUUAGCUAGUCGGCGGGGUAAAGGCCCACCGAGGCGACGAUGGGUAGCCGGACUGAGAGGUUGAACGGCCACAUUGGGAUUGAGAACGGCCCAGACUCCUACGGGAGGCAGCAGCUAAGAAUCUUCCACAAUGGACGGAAGUCUGAUGGAGCGACGCCGCGUGGGCGAUGAAGGCCGGAAGGUUGUAAAGUCCUUUUCGGGCAGAGGAAUAAGCGCGCCAGGGAAUGGGCGUGCGAUGACGUUAAGCCCGGAAUAAGCCCCGGCAAACUACGUGCCAGCAGCCGCGGUAAUACGUAGGGGGCGAGCGUUGUUCGGAAUCAUUGGGCGUAAAGGGCGCGCAGGUGGGCUGCCAAGUCUGGCGUUAAAGCCCGGGGCUCAACCCCGGGAUGCGCUGGAAACUGGCGGCCUGGAGUGCAGGAUGGGGCGCUGGAAUUCCAGGUGUAGGGGUGAAAUCUGUAGAUAUCUGGAAGAACACCGGUGGCGAAGGCGAGCGCCUGGCCAUGCACUGACACUGAGGCGCGAAGGUGCGGGGAGCAAACAGGUUUAGAUACCCUGGUAGUCCGCACAGUAAACGAUGCGCACUAGGCGUCGGGGGCAACCCCGGUGCCGCAGCAAACGCGUUAAGUGCGCCGCCUGGGGAGUAUGCCCGCAAGGGUGAAACUCAAAGGA
rnacentral:rRNA from 1 species